AGGGACUUAGGAUAAUAUUAGACCAAGAGCCUUCAAAGCUCCAAGUGAGGGUUAAAACCCCUCAGACCCUG
rnacentral:tRNA from 1 species